rnacentral:rRNA from 1 species
GAUGAACGCUGGCGGCGUGCCUAAUACAUGCAAGUCGAGCGAACGGACGAGAAGCUUGCUUCUCUGAUGUUAGCGGCGGACGGGUGAGUAACACGUGGAUAACCUACCUAUAAGACUGGGAUAACUUCGGGAAACCGGAGCUAAUACCGGAUGAUAUUUUGAACCGCAUGGUUCAAAAGUGAAAGACGGUCUUGCUGUCACUUAUAGAUGGAUCCGCGCUGCAUUAGCUAGUUGGUAAGGUAACGGCUUACCAAGGCAACGAUGCAUAGCCGACCUGAGGGGGUGAUCGGCCACACUGGACCUGAGACACGGUCCAGACUCCUACGGGGGGCAGCAGUAGGGAAUCUGCCGCAAUGGGCGAAAGCCUGACGGAGCAACGCCGCGUGAGUGAUGAAGGUCUUCGGAUCGUAAAACUCUGUUAUUAGGGAAGAACAUAUGUGUAAGUAACUGUGCACAUCUUGACGGUACCUAAUCAGAAAGCCACGGCUAACUACGU